rnacentral:rRNA from 1 species
AACGAACGCUGGCGGCAUGCCUAACACAUGCAAGUCGAACGAAGUCUUCGGACUUAGUGGCGCACGGGUGCGUAACGCGUGGGAAUCUGCCCUUGGGUGCGGAAUAACUUCUCGAAAGGGAUGCUAAUACCGCAUAAUGUCGUAAGACCAAAGAUUUAUCGCCCAAGGAUGAGCCCGCGUAAGAUUAGCUAGUUGGUGGGGUAAAAGCCUACCAAGGCGACGAUCUUUAGCUGGUCUGAGAGGAUGAUCAGCCACACUGGGACUGAGACACGGCCCAGACUCCUACGGGAGGCAACAGUGGGGAAUAUUGGACAAUGGGCGAAAGCCUGAUCAGCAAUGCCGCGUGAGUGAUGAAGGCCCUAGGGUUGUAAAGCUCUUUUACCAGGGAUGAUAAUGACAGUACCUGGAGAAUAAGACUCCGGCUAACUCCGUGCCAGCAGCCGCGGUAAU